CGCUUUCACUCCUACGGGAGGCAGCAGUAGGGAAUAUUGCACAAUGGGCGCAAGCCUGAUGCAGCCAUGCCGCGUGUGUGAAGAAGGCCUUCGGGUUGUAAAGCACUUUCAGUCGUGAGGAAGGUAGUGUAGUUAAUAGCUGCAUUAUUUGACGUUAGCGACAGAAGAAGCACCGGCUAACUCCGUGCCAGCAGCCGCGGUAAUACGGAGGGUGCGAGCGUUAAUCGGAAUUACUGGGCGUAAAGCGCAUGCAGGUGGUUUGUUAAGUCAGAUGUGAAAGCCCGGGGCUCAACCUCGGAAUUGCAUUUGAAACUGGCAGACUAGAGUACUGUAGAGGGGGUAGAAUUUCAGGUGUAGCGGUGAAAUGCGUAGAGAUCUGAAGGAAUACCGGUGGCGAAGGCGGCCCCCUGGACAGAUACUGACACUCAGAUGCGAAAGCGUGGGGAGCAAACAGGAUUAGAUACCCUGGUAG
rnacentral:rRNA from 1 species